GACGAACGCUGGCGGCGUGCCUAAUACAUGCAAGUAGAACGCACAGUUUAUACCGUAGCUUGCUACACCAUAAACUGUGAGUUGCGAGCGGGUGAGUAACGCGUAGGUAACCUGCCUGGUAGCGGGGGAUAACUAUUGGAAACGAUAGCUAAUACCGCAUAAUAUUGAUUAUUGCAUGAUAAUUGAUUGAAAGAUGCUAUUGCAUCACUACCAGAUGGACCUGCGUUGUAUUAGCUAGUAGGUGAGGUAACGGCUCACCUAGGCGACGAUACAUAGCCGACCUGAGAGGGUGAUCGGCCACACUGGGACUGAGACACGGCCCAGACUCCUACGGGAGGCAGCAGUAGGGAAUCUUCGGCAAUAGACGAAAGUCUGACCGAGCAACGCCGCGUGAGUGAAGAAGGUUUUCGGAUCGUAAAGCUCUGUUGUAAGAGAAGAACGGGUGUGAGAGUGGAAAGUUCACACUGUGACGGUAUCUUACCAGAAAGGGACGGCUAACUACGUG
rnacentral:rRNA from 1 species